rnacentral:rRNA from 1 species
UACGUAGGGGGCGAGCGUUGUCCGGAUUUAUUGGGCGUAAAGGGCUCGUAGGCGGUCUGUCACGUCGGGGGUGAAAACACGGGGCUUAACCCCGUGCCUGCUUCCGAUACGGGCAGACUAGAGGUAUGCAGGGGAGAACGGAAUUCCUGGUGUAGCGGUGAAAUGCGCAGAUAUCAGGAGGAACACCGGUGGCGAAGGCGGUUCUCUGGGCAUUACCUGACGCUGAGGAGCGAAAGUGUGGGGAGCGAACAGG